rfam:Mustela putorius furo unplaced genomic scaffold scaffold00122, whole genome shotgun sequence.
CCCUGGGCUCGCGGAGCUUCCAUUGCGGCUGCGCGGCUGGCUAAGAGGGGGCGGUGCAGCUUUUACUACCGCUGCGCACUUGACGCGCGCGCUCUAGUCCUCCUUUUGCGGCUCUUCUUUUCGGUCGAGUUUUGCGGGGGCGUGUGGGGAACCUACGCUCUUUG